rnacentral:misc_RNA from 1 species
AGUUUGAAUCAUCAAAGCUUGAAUUGAAAAGGAUCUCUCCAUUUGAUUUUCUUUUCACAGAAAAACUAAAAGGGUCAUUUUUGUAAUUGAAUAUUAACUCAUUUCCCGAAUAUUCUGACUCUACUGCUAGUGAUGAAAAAAUAUUCUUUCUUGAUUUACCACCGAUGUUUUGUUUCAAUGAUGGGGGUGUUUCUCUUUGUAAUAAGUUGUAAGGAACUUCCCAUCUUUGCUCUUUUGCGUCAGUUAUAUGAACCCUCAGUCGAUUAUCUGUCUCAUGCUUAACAUAGAGCUUCAAAUUUGGAAUAUCUAGCCCAUAAA